AAUUGCCUUUAGAUCUAGAUUUAGUUCAUCCAGUCUUCCAUGUCACUUUUCCCAAGAAGUGCAUAAGUGACCCAGCAGUUGUAGUCCCUAUUCAGAGCAUAGAUGUUCAGAAUAGCCUUUCUUACGAGGAGAUCCAGGUCGAAAUCCUAGGCUAUCAGACUCGAAAACUGAGGAACAAAUAAGUCCCUCUAGUUAAAGUUCUUUGGAGAAAUUAGUCCAUCAAGGAAGAUACCUGGGAAGAAGAAGAAGACAUACAUAUCAAGUAUCCUCACAUCUUCCCCGCGGACUCAGAUCAAGCUCAAGGUUCAGAAAUACGAGCUCCAGAUCAGCAGUAGAUUCCAGUUUGUAGCAGUCAGAGUAGAAGUUUAGAAAUAUGAGCUCCAGAUCACCAGUAGAUUCCAGUUUGCAGCAAUCGGAGCAGAAGUGAGUCCUCAUCUUUCGAGGACAUGAUGAUUUUUCUUUCAUCUUAUUAGAUAUUUUAUUUGAUGGAGUUAGUUGGGGAAAUUUUCCAUCAACUCUUUAUUAAGAUUUUCUAGACAGUAGAGGGUUUCAGACUAUAUGUAGAUUUGAUUUCAGACUUCAGUAUUUUUAGUUUUGUUUUGAGUAUCCUAUUACCCCACUCAGAUGUUAUGCGGAUUAUGUUCAGUAUUGAACCUUAUGGCCUUUCAGUGCA